AUUUCUUUCAACAGCUUGGAGCAUGAUUACCUAAACAAAUGUGAUCUCAUCCAGCCACUCCUGGAAUAAUGAAAUGGACUCAGAGAUGAUGACAAAUGCAUUUAUUUCCUGAUCUAUAUUUAAAUUCAAAAGAGCCAAAAGGGAAAUUGUUUUCUUUCUAGUUCUGCGUAGCAAGUUUUCUUCAAGCGGGAAUUGGAAAGGAAGAGGACAUAGCGAGUGUUUGCAUGAAAUGAGUUUUAGGGAACAAACAUCUAUUUAAUCCAGAAACAGAAUUUACUUCUUUGAAGAUUUGAAGGAAUAAACUAGACAAGCAGAGCUCAAAGUGUAGGAAUAACACUUUGUCACCAUCCCUAGUCCAUAUGUCAGCGGAGUCCAUGGAAUCGCAGUGUCUUUAAUCCUUCGUCCAGCCUGGGGAGAUGAUGGUCCAGUCAGCAACAGUUGAAGAAACCACAUGAGUUCCAGGCAUCGUGUGCAAUUCUGUCCCAAGCUGCUAUGCAGUCUAACGAGAGACAAAUCAUAUGUUAAAAAGUAGCAUCAAACAUACACUCGAUAGAGGGGAAAACCCAGAUUUGCAGAAACUC